rnacentral:rRNA from 1 species
GGGAGGCAGCAGUGAGGAACUUUGGACAAUGGGCGAAAGCCUGAUCCAGCAAUGCCGCGUGCAGGACGAAGGCCUUCGGGUUGUAAACUGCUUUUGUACGGAACGAAACGGUCUUUUCUAAUAAAGAGGGCUAAUGACGGUACCGUAAGAAUAAGCACCGGCUAACUACGUGCCAGCAGCCGCGGUAAUACGUAGGGUGCAAGCGUUAAUCGGAAUUACUGGGCGUAAAGCGUGCGCAGGCGGUUAUAUAAGACAGAUGUGAAAUCCCUGGGCUCAGCCUAGGACCUGCAUUUGUGACUGUAUAGCUAGAGUACGGUAGAGGGGGAUGGAAUUCCGCGUGUAGCAGUGAAAUGCGUAGAUAUGCGGAGGAACACCGAUGGCGAAGGCAAUCCCCUGGACCUGUACUGACGCUCAUGCACGAAAGCGUGGGGAGCAAACAGGAUUAGAUACCCUGGUAGC